AUGCAGGAGGGCCCCUGUGCUGUUCACUCUCUGUCCAUCCAUCCAUCCGUUCAUCCUUCCAUCCAUCUAUCCAUCAUCCAUCCAUCCAUCAUUUAUCUAUCCUUUUAUCAUCCAUCUAUUCACCCAUCUAUCCAUCGACCCAUCCAUUCAUCCUUCCAUCAUCUGUUUACCUGUUCAUCCUUCCAUCCAUCAUCCAUCCAUCCAUUCUUCCAUCAUCUUCCCAUACAUCUGUGGGUCCUUCCAUCCAUCCAUCCAAUCAUCCAUCCAUUCACCUGUUCGUCUUUCCACCCACGCAUCCAUCAUCCAUCCCUCCGUCCAUCAUCCAUCCAUCCUUUUAUCAUCCAUCCAUUCAUUCACCUUUUCGUCCAUCCAUCCAUCCUUCCAUCUAUCUUUCCAUCAUCCAUCCAACUGUUCAUUCUUCAUCCAUCCAUCCGUCAUUCAUCUGGUCACCUCUUCAUCCAUCCAUCCAGCUGUUCAUCCUUCUAUCCAUCCAACCAUCUGCCAUCCACCCAUCCAUUCAUUCAUCAUCCAUCCCUCCAUCCAUCCAUCCUUUUAUCAUCCAUCCAUUCACCUAUUCAUCCUUCUAUUCAUCCAUCCAUCACCCAUCCAUCCUUCAUCCAUUCUUUUAUCAUCCAUCCAUUCAGCCACCAUCCAUCCACCUGUUCAUCCUUCCAUCAUUCAUCCAUCCUCCCAUCAUCCAUCCACUCACCUCCUGCUCAUUCUUCCAUCCGUUCAUCCUUCCAUCUAUCCAUUGCCCAUCCAUUUAUCCAUUCAUCCACCUGUCCAUUCAUUUGCCUGUUCAUCCAUCCAUCUUUCCACCAACCAUCCAUUCACCUGUUCAUCCUUCCACCCAUCAUUCAUCCACUCACCUCCUGUUCAUCCUUCCAUCCAUCCAUCCGUCCAUCUCUCCAUCCACCCACUUAUCCAUCCAUCCUUCAUACAUCCUUUUAUCAUCCAUCCUCCAUCCAUUUAUCCAUUCAUCUAUCCAUCCAUCCAUUCACCUGUUCCUCCUUCCAUCCAUCAUUCAUUCAUCCAUCUUUCCAUUAUCCAUCCACUCAUCUCCUGUUCAUCCUUCCAUCCGUCCAUCAUCCAUCCUUUCACCCAUCCAUCCACUGA
ensembl:lncRNA